rnacentral:rRNA from 1 species
GUUUAUUUGGAGCUAUAAAUAAUUUGGCCUGCCCCCUGAUUAGAAGUUAAAGGGCCGCAGUAUUAUAACUGUGCAAAGGUAGCAUAAUCAUUAGGUUUUUAAUUGGAAUCUUGUAUGAAUGGUUGGACAAAAGAGAAGCUGUCUUUAUAUUAAUUUUGAAUUUAACUUUUAAGUGAAAAGGCUUAAAUACGCUAAAGGGACGAUAAGACCCUAUAAAACUUUACAUUAUAAUUAUAUUUUAGUAAAUUUAUAAAUAAAGAUUUAAUUUAAUUACUUGUUAGGCUGGGGAGGUAUAAAUAAAUAUUAUUUUAACUGUUUAAUAAUUAUACAAUUAUUAGUGAGUAAGUGUAAAGAUCCUUUAUUAAAGAUUAAUAAAUUAAGUUACUUUAGGGAUAACAGCGUAAUUUCUUUUGAGAGUUCUUAUCGAAAAAGAAGAUUGCGACCUCGAUGUUGAAUUAAAAUAUUCUAUAUAAUGGAGAGGUUAUAUAAGAAGGUCUGUUCGACUUUUAAAAUUUUACAUGAUUUGAGUUCAAACCGGUGUGAG